UACGUAGGGGGCAAGCGUUGUCCGGAAUUAUUGGGCGUAAAGAGCUCGUAGGCGGUCUGUUGCGUCCGCUGUGAAAACUCGGGGCUUAACCCUGGGCUGGCAGUGGAUACGGACAGACUAGAGGUAGGUAGGGGAGAAUGGAAUUCCCGGUGUAGCGGUGAAAUGCGCAGAUAUCGGGAGGAACACCGGUGGCGAAGGCGGUUCUCUGGGCCGAUACUGACGCUGAGGAGCGAAAGCGUGGGGAGCGAACAGG
rnacentral:rRNA from 1 species